rnacentral:rRNA from 1 species
GGGGAAUUUUGGACAAUGGGGGCAACCCUGAUCCAGCAAUGCCGCGUGUGUGAAGAAGGCCUGCGGGUUGUAAAGCACUUUAAGUGUGGAGAAAGGCCAGUGCGUAAAUAGCGCAGUGGAUUGAUAGUACACACAGAAUAAGCACCGGCUAACUCUGUGCCAGCAGCCGCGGUAAUACAGAGGGUGCAAGCGUUAAUCGAAAUUACUGGGCGUAAAGCGCAUGUAGGUGGUUUAAUAAGUUUGAUGGGAGAGCCCUGGGCUUAACCGGGGAAUGGCGUUGAAGACUGUUAGACUCGAGUCGAAGAGAGGGUUGUGGAAUUUCCGGUGUAGCGGUGAAAUGCGUAGAGAUCGGAAAGAACACCAGUGGCGAAGGCGGCAACCUGGCUUCAGACUGACACUGAGAUGCGAAAGCGUGGGGAGCAAACG